GAAAAAUUAAGCGAGGCGAGGGCUAUGUUGGCACUAAACAGGGGUUUUAACCGCAGGCUCUUCUCCAACUUCAACUUUCCCAAAGCUCUCUCUGGUUCUGUCUUAAUCCCUCUCAUGGCUUCUCCCUCAACUGUUUCUUCUCCUGCCUACUCCACUGGAUCCCCUUACCAGCAUCCACCAAAGCGAGUAGGCACUCACAAUGGAAGCUUUCACUGCGACGAGGCUCUUGGCUGCUUUAUGAUUCGUCUCACCAACAAGUUCUCCAAUGCCGAAAUUGUCCGCUCCCGCGACACUCAGGUGUUGGAGGGUCUGGAUGCUGUGCUUGAUGUCGGGGGCGUAUAUGAUCCAAGCCGUGACCGUUACGAUCACCAUCAGAAGGGAUUUGAGGAGAUCUUUGGACAUGGGUUCACUACCAAGCUUAGCAGCGCUGGUCUUGUUUAUAAGCACUUUGGGAAGGAGAUAAUAGCUAAGGAGCUGCAGCUUGAUGAAGGGCACCCAGAUGUGCAUCGGUUGUUCUUGGCUGUUUACAAAAGCUUCAUGGAGGUGCUAACUUCCGUUUACUUUUGACAAUUUUAUGUUUAUUGUGCUUACUAAUGUCAUAGAUGGUUUUAGAAACUGCCGUUUGAAUACAUAGGAUUUUGCUAAUGCUUUUCUCCAAAAGACUCUGGGUCUGUAUGUUUCUUACUUGUAUUGAGGUUUUGAACAAUGAUGAUACAAUAGGCAAUGGCCUUAAAGCCAUCAAUACUUCUUCUUCUCAUAUAAUAUGUUAUUUAAAUAGGGCUUCAGGAUUGAACCUGAUAUGGUUAGACAAUUCUACCUAUACCAUGCAUAUUUCACACAGUUUUGCUUCAAUUUAGAUUCUUACUUUUGUAGCUUAUGCUGCUUACUAAUGUUUAUCCCCUCUUCCUUUCCUCCAUCUUUCUCCUUAUUUGGGGACUUUUUUUCCCUUAUGCAGGCAAUUGAUGCUGUUGACAAUGGAAUCAAUCAGUAUGACACAGACCUUCCUCCAAGAUAUGUGAAUAAUACACAUUUGUCUUCAAGGGUUGGGAGAUUGAAUUUGGAUUGGAUUGAUCCUGAUCAAUCACCUGAGAAGGAGAAUCAGGCCUUCCAACAAGCAAUGGCGCUGGCAGGCAGUGAGUUUUUAGAUAAUGUUCGCUUUCAUGCAAGGUCUUGGUUACCAGCACGGUCAAUUGUAAUGGAGUGUCUUGCAGCUAGAUUUGAUGUCGACCCUAGUGGUGAAAUUAUGGUUUUGGCUACAUUCUGUCCUUGGAAACUUCACUUAUUCGAGCUUGAGGAGGAACUGAAGAUUGACCCUUCAAUUAAAUAUGUUCUUUAUCAGGAUGACAGGAGUAAACAUUGGCGAGUGCAGGCAGUGGCAAUAGGUGCAGAUAGAUUUGAAAGCCGGAGGCCUCUACCAGCUCAGUGGCGAGGUCUUAGGGAUGAUGAGCUCUCAAGGGAAUCUGGAAUCCCUGGUUGUGUUUUUGUCCAUAUGAGCGGAUUCAUCGGUGGAAAUCAAACUUUUGAGGGAGCUCUGUCUAUGGCAAGAAAUGCACUGAAGCUGUAGAACGUAGUGGAUAGCAUUGCUGUCAUGAUCAAAGAUGGACAAUUUCAGAAUUGUAGCUGGACCUGAAUUCAUUAGUUUGUUGUCUUUAUUUUAAUCCCAUGGGUAUUGGGUGGUAGAUCUGCGGUCCACUUUAUAUUUUGCAUUCAUUCAUACGAAGAACUGUUGGCAUUUUAUUCUAACAUCUACUCAAUUCACUAGGAAGGUUUAUCACGUCUUGUAUUUCCUCAACGCAUUAAUUGCUUUGCUUAUAAUAGCGAAAAUUGGAAGUUAUAAUAUAGUUUGAUGGGGAAAACUUACGUAAAUUUAAUUUAUUAUGAAUGCAAAAUGAGUGUAUGAAUAUCACUGACUAUUUAUGUUAUAUCUAAUUUCUUACUUUAUAAAACAGACAAUUAAUUAUUAAACUACUAGUAUAUUAAUCGAUUAUCUUUAAAUGGUGUUAUGGUUUCAUAUAAUAUCUGCAGUAUAUAGGUACUUGAUUUAAUGCAUGGCCCAUGCACUUGAUUCUAAGUAUUUGGUCAUGUAUUUAUGGCUUUGCACUUAAUUGUUCCCUCCUAUAAAUGGCAAGAUUAUAAUGUUAAGAUAUUAUGUUACCUUGUGGGGUAAAUAAUUUAUUUAAUUAAGAUAUGUUGAUUUUUUUUUUCCCAUUUGCAAUGCAGAAGCUUGUAAUUACAACAAAUAGUGUGGAGUAUAUGCCAUUCUUCCUAUCUCUUGCUUCCUUUGCCAAUAGUCUUACCUGGUCUACUUAUGCUCUCAUCCUUUUCGAUCCAUUCAUCCUUAUUCCUAACGGGUUGGGUUCGCUACUUGCAUUGGC
rnacentral:misc_RNA from 1 species